GGCCUUCUCUACUCCGAGAGAGUCACACAGGACCUAUGGAAGGCGCCAGGAGGCAGUCUAGGGGCUGUGGGGGUCACCACGGCAGGUGGAGGCGGGCCUCGGUGCGCGGCUGCCCAUCUCCGGACCGCCCACCCGAGCACUGGCCCAUGUGUCUCCUCCCCCGGAAACGAGACGGGGUCUCGCCAUGUUGACCAGGCUGGUCUCGAAAUACGCCCACCUCGGCUUCCCGAAGGGCUAGAAUUACAGGCGUGAGCCACCGCGGGCCCAGCUCCAACCCUUGGAUUCUUCUUUAAAAACCAAAUUCGUUUAAAUACCGGGCCGGAGGGUGCGGUCCUGCUUUGCUGAGAUCCCUUACUCAUCUUCAGAUGAGUCCUCCCAGAUCACCCCAUUAUUACUAAACAACCCACACUGCUAACCCCAACCGUCCCUCAUUGCUUCUUUCUGCCCCCCCGACCCCCCCAACUUAACCAACUUAUAACAUGUUUUUAAAUCGUUUAUUGUCUCCCUGCUCCAUCAUCCCAUCCUCGAAGACAGAGGCUUAUCCCCAUUGCCUGUCACUGAAUGAAUGAACUGUUGUCUAAGGCUAGCUGCUUCUGCCAUAGGGUAUUUCAGCAAUGGUAAGACACAGGCCUUCGCAGUAGGGUCUCAUCUGUGUCCUUUCCUCCCCUCCAGUCCUGCCCCUUGUCUAGUUAACCCCAGUUCUUCCUCCAGAAUUUUUUUUUUUU